UUGGUGUAAUUUUAUUUUAAAGUGAACUAAUCCUUUAAUCACUUUUGAUACAUUUAGAUAUAACUUUACUUUAUAUUUAGAUAUAUGUAUAUAUAUGUUAUACAUCUUAAAUGGCAACUUGCUUUCCAAGUAAAUUUAUUGUGUUUUUAGGAUGUUAUGGUUUUAAACUGGGAAAAAAAUAAAAUAAAAUUGUAGUAUAUCAAAUUAGCUAACAUAUUUAGCAAACAAACAAUGCUGUAAAUCUAGUUGUGGUAGAUGUGUAAAAACAUUUUGAAUAAUGGGUGUUUACAGUUUUGUGGAAAUACGUGGGCACAGAUAGUGGUCCUGGUCAUCUAUUGACCAAAGUAAUAAAAGAACACUUUACCAUAACACACACACACUCCUCAAGCCUUGAACCUCAGACAUCAGAUGUUGGACUUUAGUGUUUGGUGACUUAUCCGAGUCUCCUGCCCUUGCAUGGUCAACAGAGUGAGUGUGUCAUUACCAUAAAUCUAUCAGUGUCUUCCUGUGUGUGUGUGUGUGUGUGUCUCUUGUCCUCUUUUAGCACCCUGGGGCAUGUUGGACUAAUGGCUGGCCUUGUUCUCACCCUGGCUGUUUGCUGAGCUGGGAAGGCUAAAGUCUAUAGAUAGACAAGAGACUUGGAAUGCAAGGGCAUUUGGGCCUUAAUCCCAGCGUAGCCUGAUGGUUGAGAGCGAGGCAGUGCGUCCAGGCAGACUGGAGCUAAUCUGCUGGAGAAAAAAAAGCCUGUCCGUGCUUGCUGUUAACACGUCUCGUUCCUGCUCAACUCUGGGAGCUGUGCAGGGUGACCUGGGUUAAUUGCAGCUGCAGAGAUGAACAGCCUGGGUCACCUUCUCUACGAAAGAGACGGGGGGAAAAAUGAGUCUUAAGGUGGUGGGGGUGAGAGGUCAGCAUGGCAAGGCUGCAGAUUAAGUUUCACAUGACUGAGCACCUUUGUUGGGGCGGUCCACUAGAAAGGAAGUGUCUUGCAUGUCUGAGUCCAAGAGAAGGAUCAUGCAGCUCCUCCCUCUGAGUCCUGCGCUGAGAUUGGCCACCUUCGCAGCAUGCCCCCCCUCACCCCCUAGCCUCACUGAGCAUGUUUGCUCGUCCGAGGGGGGUGUUUUGAACUCUGCAUGCUACACAAUCUGGUUGAUCUGCAGUGUCUCAGACCCUUUCAUGAACUACAAUAUGUCUGGCCUGACACAUGCUGCUGAAUGGAAGGGGAGAGCCAGCAAAAGGUUGCACUUGAGAUUGAAGGCAUGUUCAGCCAAUCAGACAUCAGUUAUUUUGUUAUAUAUUUUACACAAACUGGUGUUUUUUUUAUCUGCCAUUUUUAUUUUAUUUAAUUUUUAUCUGUUAUUAACAUAUGUGAUAUGUUACAUAUUAUGCUCAUAUUAAUAUUUAGUUAAAAGUAAAUGCUUUCAUUAAGGACACAUGUCAUUGAGAGCCACUGUCCUGCAGAGUGUAGCUUCAACCAGCUCCAAAACACCUGCUUGAAAGUUUCUAGUAAUCCUGAAGACCUUGAUUAGCUGGUUCAGGUGUGUUUAAUUAGGGUUGGACACUCCUGAUUUAGGAGAUGAUCUCAUUCAAAGUGACUUACAGUAUUCUUAUAAAAGUGACAGUCCAUCUGGAGCAACCAAAUUAGCAUUAUUCUUUUUAGCAUGUUAGCAUUAGCAUUUUAUUCAUUUAGUUUUAAUGAUAAAAAGUAGUUUAACAAUUAGGAGUUAAGUUAUCUGCAUUCUGUGGUUAAACAUACAUUACCAUUCAAAAGUUUGGGGUCAGGAAGAUUUUUUAAAAAAAGGAGACAAGAAAUGAACACUCUUUUGAGCACGGAUGCAUUUUAUUAAUCAAAUUGACAGUAAUGACUUUUACAUGUUACAAAAAAAUUAAUUUAAAAUAUAUGCUGUUCUUUUGAGCUUUCUAUUCAUCAAAGAAUCCUGCAUUUUUUGCCAAGAGAAAAAUUUCUGUGAACAUACAGAUCAAACUCAAGUAUAAAAGAAUCAGUCAAUUCCUAAUGAAGUUUGAUCCUGAUCCUGUCCAUCACAAAAAAAAACCCCAACAUAAACAGCUGCUUACCUCACUUCCUCUAACCGUCCCACCAUCCUUAUGCUCAACACCUUCAUUACAAACAGCGUCAAACCUUCCUGCCCUUUUACAUUAACAUGUGAACUCGUGAAAAGCCCUUACAUUAACCUGUCUGCUAAUGACUAAACAAUCAUUGAAUCUCAAUGUCUGAAACCUGAAUCUGUAGACUUCAGUUUAUGAAGUGAGUGGAUGAGGUUUGCUCUCUGUUUCUGUCUCGCCCUCCUGCAUUAGGGAUUUUCUGUUUACACACCCACACCGUGACUAUUGGGCCAUCAGGGCCGAAUUAAUUUGAGCGAUCGAUACCUUCUUCAUCAACAUUUUUAUUUCCUGCUGGAACGGUGGGGGCCCAUUAGUUGUGGUGUCUUGUUAUAGUGACCAGUGUAUUUGUGUUUGAACAGCGAUGACACGGCCAAGGUCAGAGAGAUAUUUAUUUCAGUGAAGACCCUUUCCUAUAGCCUCUAAUUCACCAUUCUCACACAAACAAACACACACAAAGUUUAUACUGUCCGAGACUUUUUUUUAAACUCCAGUAUACCAAAAUACCCUCAUGUCGUUCCAAACCUGUAUGACUUUCUGUCUUCUGUGGAACAUAAAAGAAAAUAAUUGGAAAAAUGUCUGUUUUUUUUUUGUACAGUACAGUACAAUGAAAUUCCUUUCACAUGUUUUAGACCUAUUUUUCUUACAUUGUAUGGAGCAAAACAGUUGAAACAUUCAAAAUGUCUUUAUGUGUGUGUGUUCCACAGAAGAAAAAAUUCAUACAGAUUUGGAAAGACACACUGGAAAGACAAAAAUAUCCUGUUAAAUUUACAGCAGUUGUCAUUGCCAGAAAUUCACUGUAAAAAUAUGUUGACAAUGUUUCAAGUAUUACGAGGUGGCAUAUUGGCAAAAUAAAUACAGAAGUAUUUAUAUAAAAUAUAAUCAUAUGUGAUAUGAUUGUGUUUCCACAGCAUAAAAAUAGGAUCUUAUGGAUUUAUGAAUAAACCGCUCGUUUUAAAAUCUCCUCUGCCUACUGACAUUUGUUAUAAGAUCUGCUUCAAACAUUACAAUGCUCAUGAGAACUUUUGUUAACUCUACAAUAAGUAAAUCCACUUUACCAUCUAAUUACUCUUUACCAGCGAUGCCAUAGAAAUAUACAGAGCUACCGCAAAAUGGAAGUUCAAAAACAAAAUUCUAAAGAUGGCUGCGCGCUUGUUUCUCUGGCGCAUAUAUUAGGCCUAUACUUGGGUUUGUGUGUGUGUGUGUGUGUGUGUAAGUGUGUACUUGCUGACCUCUAUACUCAGCCCCAGAAAUCAGUAUUUGGAGAAGCUGAUCAUAUCAGUGGUCUUGUCUUCUUGGAAUGCUGUGGAUGGCCACAGGUGCCCAUUACUUAUCAUGCUAAAUGAUUCGGGUCAGCUCAGUCAACAUUCCGGAACUCUCUGAGACAAGACCACUUUGGAAAAGGGGGGAAGAUCCCCCUCUUAAUCUCUCCUGCCAAAAAGGACCUUCAUAUAUAAGGAACUGAGUUUCAGUAUUAAAAUAAUGGAUGUUUAUGAUCAGCAGAUUCAAGUAGAUUCUGAUGCACUGCUCCUGCAAGGCCCACUAAUGUCUGUCUGCCACUUACACAUCCAGCAAGUGGAAUUAGCGCAGUGGUCCUCCAUUUCCCAGUAGUGCACAUGGAGUCUCAGUUGCCCAGUUCAGCACUUGGUGCUUUUGAAGGCUUGUUAAACUGAGGCACACUUUGUACCUGAAGCUGAAUCGGUCCCGAUUGGCCCUUCUUCCGCUUAUCUCUCCGGGUUGCUCCGCACCCUUUGCCCGCCGGCGAUGGUCACAUGCUUGACCUGCUUGACUGGCCUGGACCACACCCCGUCCUACAUACCUGCUCCUCACCUGCACUGUUCUGAGUGACACUUUUCACCUGAGAGAGGACUUCCUACUCACACCAUUGCCACUAAAUCUCUGCAAAAUAAAAGCAAGAACAUCCUGUGAAUACCAAAUCAGCCACGGCUAGGCCCACGCGGAGUCUGCAGAGCUUCAGUGGUUGCUGCACAACCAUGGACAAGUAACAGCUUUUGGCAUAUAUACUGAUAUUAUGCAGUGAUAUUAUUUGCUGAAAAUUGCUUUAGCUAAAUAUGUCAUAAACAACUUCGGGCCAUUUUCCAUCGAUUUCCUCUUUGAUAUUUUGUUAGCUUGGCUCAGUUUUUUUCCAGGCUUUCUAACUGGCACCAACAUACCAAAAAGGCUCCAUCAAUCUCAACAACUUGAGAUUUUCUAGUAAACAAAACAUGAAUUUCUUUGAAUAUCUAUUCAUUUAAUUCUACUUGUAUUGAAAUUCCAUUUGCAGUUCUGCAUCAUGUUUGCUACCUCAAUUUAAAAUUCUGUUCAAAUUUAAAUUGGAAUAUAAAAAGAAUUUUCAUCAAUUCUGAAUGCUUCACAAUGCAGUCUGACAAAUGCAAUAAUGUAAUUUGACAUAUUGUAUUUCAGAUAAUUUAAUAUUGCUUUCAGCUAUGAAUAAGAGUGUUAAGACAUAUUAAAAACAUAACAUUUUAAAGUUGGCAUUAAAUGUAAAUUCACCCUAUCUAUUUUUAAUGCAUCUUAAUGAUCUAAUUGUGAAUGAUUCAUUCAUGCUAUGGUUUAUUUAUUUAUUUAUUUAUUUUUUACCUUUUUAAUUAAAAUGUCAUAACUCAAUCUACUGGUAGAACUACAGACUUUUCUCUGGUGACGUAUGGUGGAUUUCUCCAAUAAUUUAGUCCACUUAAACACCGUCCCUUUCUUACAGUCAACCAAGAGCUCACAUUCAGAUCUACCUCCAUCUAAUAAACAACCAAUGGAUUUAACCAAGUCCCCAUCCUAAAUUUUUGAUAAUCCGUUUCACUUGGAUGUACGUUUCAAUACUGAAGAAAUGAGCUGUUGCUACUACCGUUACAUUCUGACUUUAACACGUUUAAAUCUUGCAGAAUUUCUCAGACUUUCCUGUAAAAUCAGUGUGAAAAUGCAGAGCAGAUUCAGUUCAGUGAUGCAAUCAGCAUAGCACCUACAGCACUAACUGCUCUUGUAUAAUUGGGGUCUGUGAUUGUGGUGGCUGUGUAUUCCUUCUCUAAAAUUAAAAGUAUCAGGUGACACAUCAGCUUUAUUAGCAUCCAUUAGUGCUCAUCUGAAGCCUCUGGGACUCAGUGGAACAGUGGGUCUCUAGUUUUCAGGGCCUCUUUGGAUAGCUUUGGCCCUUAGCAUUUCUCCACUGGACUAAACACGGCCAGCUCUGUCAGAAACAGCUCUGCUCUCCAGUUACAACCACCAGCAAUGACCCACAGGGUGGGUCAAGUGCUCUGCCCAAGGUCACGGUAGGAGGGCAGAGGUGUGAUUGGGGGUGGUAGCUGCAGGGAGGGGGUGGACAACCUCCAGGGACCUGUUCCAUAUUGAGCCAAGAUGGUGUGCAAGACACGCAAACUGAAAACACCCUUAAUGAAUGAGUAUUGCUGCUGCUGGCUGUUGGAAGUUCAUUGAGAACUCUUGUGAGAUACAUUUUAAAUAUGUUUUUAUCAAUUGUCAUAUGCUAGCAGUAGAUGCUAAUGGACUAUGACUGUGUCCGAAAUCGCCCCCUAUACCCUUAAAUAGGGCACAAUUUUAGGGGACAGCCAUUUGUUGUUGUGUCCGAAACCACAGUGGAUGUUAUCGAUUGCACUCAUUUAAUCCCAUAAUGCCUCGCAAUAACGAGUGUACAACCGAUGUUCACUCAGCGCCUAGAGAAUACCCAUAAUUCACUGUGAGGUUCGUGCCGAAUUCCCACGUCUCGCCAGAAGAUGACUCCCGUGGCUGAAUCGUCCAUCCUUCCAUUUUUCAAACCGCUUGACGAAUAUCGGUAAAACGUAAUAUCAUACAGAUAUAUAUUUCUUCUUAAUUGAUUAUUAAAUUAUUUAAUCAAGGUCUAUACAUGCAAGUUUCCAUGAGAGUUCAAGAUAAAUCUUUUCAUUACUACUAGAGCUGCCAUUUUGCUAAGUUUCAAAUGAUUAGUGAACAGCAAGCACAAACUAUGCAAAGGCAGCACUCAGUGUACAAAUUCGCUCACUCGUUUUCAUUCACUCCUUAAACUGGACUAUAUUAGAGGACUAAUGUGGGGAAUAGAGUGAGAGUAUAGGUUGAACACAUCUUAAUUAUAAAAUAGACUAGCUAACAAACACUAAAAGCCAGUUUUGCCAAUUUGAGACAUUUUUCACCAAAUGUUUCUGCUUUCUAAUGAUAAUUUAGAAAUGAGCUAUUUUAGCUAUUUUAAUUAUACUUAAGUUCUUUUUUAUUUACAUGCACAGUAGACUGCUACACUUUUGACUAUUUAGAUAGCAUUAAGACGGCAGAGAAAAAAGUAUGAGCAGCAAUUCAGAGGUAACUAGUUUAUAGAACAUGUAUUUAAAGACUGGUUUUAGUCUUUUGAGAAAAAUGUAUAAAGGUCUGACAGAUUUAUUAGCACAAAGUAUGAAUUUGAAGUAUUUGCAAAUGGCUUUUGUCACUCUCUCCUUAUAAUUAAAAAAAAACUUUACUAUAUUUUGAUUGAGGGAGUUUUUAAUAACUCUAAACGGAAGGAAGCGUAGAAAAUGCCCACUUCACAUUAAAGACUACAUUUGCAAUUUUUUCCCAAGAAGAAAAAUGACCAAAAAGAGAUAAGGGAAGAAAGAAGAACUGAAAAAGAGUGGUAGCAGAGUCCCCACCUCUUAACACACACACACACACACACACACACACACACACACACACACACACACACACACACACACACACGUUAAUAACAGGAUAUUAAAGAGGUGAAAUAAUUAAGCUAACAAGUGAGCAAGUCUGACUAAGCUGUCUCCUAAGGUCCGAUAUCGAUACAUUAGCUUAGACAAGCGCAAUACAUUUUACAUGGGGCCCUGGGAAAAUGAUUGAUCAAGGCAUAAUAGCAGGCCCCACUCCUCUUCCGCCAUUAGCUGGGUCAAGCUGGCAGGCCAGUUUGUCUGGGCAUAGGUCAGAGCCAUGCUAUAAUAGCUCUGCUGCCAUUACCAGGCAGUCUGUGUGAAAAACUACCAUUAAUUAGCAUUACACAGCUUCACACACACACACUACUCAUUCAGCUCUCAUUGACUACAGACCGGCCAGAACUCUGGCCUUCUCUCUCAGUGCCAAACACAGGCACACAGCCAUCCUCUCAUUUGGACAGAUAGAAAGAGAUGUAGGGAAUUAAGGAGAGAGAGAGAACGGAAGAGAGAGAGACCCGGGGUCUGACUGGCUGCCCGCUUGCUACUCCCGUUGGUUUCACUGGCUAAUUGAAUUGGCUUGUCAACAAAGCCGUUGUCAUUCAGUAAGUGAAUUUGUUGUAUUAUUGCGCAUCACAGCUGCUGCAAAUUGUCUGCUAUUUCCUGGAGGCAAUGGCAGCCCCCAUGCCCUGUCACAAAAAGCAUGAGAUACCAAAAAAAAAAAAAAAAAAGGAAAGCAAAACAAAUGAAAGUAAAAAAGCUAAAUGAUAUAAACAAACAGAAACAACAGGGGCACCACAGACAGCGAGCGAACAGAGGGAGAUUCAGGGAGCAGGGAGAUGGGCAGGUGUAAUUGCAGCGCUGUUGUUUCAGCUGGGAUUCAAAGACAGAGCCCACACUGGCACAAUGGCUGUGCCCCCUGGCACUGCUUGUAGGCCUGUCCGUACCCCUACCCAUUCAAAGAGCUGGCUUUAUCUUUCUCAAUCUGUCUGUCUCUCACAUACACGCAUACAAAACUCUCGCCCAUUGAUGUGGCCACUGGGCUCUUUGUCUGUUUCUUUGAGGUGCACUCUUUUUUUUUUUUAUGUUGUGCUGGCCGCUAUCACACGUCUUGGACUUACCAAAACCAACACCUAGAAAAAGCAGAUGGAAAAAAAAAAAAAAAGCUUUUAGGUAUAGAUGUCAUGUUCAUGGGCAUUCAACUCUGAUCUUGUCUGAUUAAUAUAUAUAUACUGGUAUUAAUUCUGUCCCAUACCACUAAUAAUGUGACAACAGUGGCUCAACCUUAAUGUUAUGAAGUGAUGAGAAUACAUUUGUGUGCAAAAAACAAACAAAAAUAAUGACUUUAUUCGACAAUUUCUUUUUAACAGCUACUUUAACAAUGUCUUUACUACCUUUCUGGGCCUUGAAAGUGGUUGUUGUGUUGUAGUCUAUCGGAGGCCAGAUAGCUCACGGAUUUCAUCAAAAAUAUCUUAAUUUGAAGAUGAACAAAGGUCUUACGGGUUUGGAACAACAUGAGCGUGAGUAAUUAAAGGGGUGGUUUAAUGCCACUUUUACAAGAUGUAAAAUAAGUCUCACAUACACACUCCAGAGUGUGUAUGUGAAGUUUUAGCUCAAAAUACCCUACAGAUCAUUUUUUAUAGCAUGUUAAAUUUAUCACUUUUUGAGGGUGAGGAAAAACGCUCCGUUUUCAUGUGUGUCCCUUUAAAUGCAAAUGAGCUGCUGCUCUCAAAAGGGGGCGGAGUUUCAGGAGUUUGUGUUAGCACUUAGCAGUGCCUCACAUUACCUCACGCAGACUCCCUGAAAAUGUAAGAAACUGUUCAGCCUUUUAUGUUCAAAACGGAGUGUGAAAAUGAUGGAGAGACUCAAGAAGAAGUGACAACAUUUUGAAUGCAACAGGACACUUCUGAACGGGAGUGUUCUGCAUGCUGAGGCCUGAGCUGCCGGGCCUGAACCCUUGCUAAUCAAUUUCUCUGUGAAGACGAGUUCAGAGGCAGGACGAAGAAUGCAGCCCGCGCUCUCUGACAUCACUGGCUUUGACACUUGUGUCAUUUCAGACAACGCUAAAGGAUUACACCAAACAAGAGCAAAGACGCACAAGAGAGACGGUGCCAAAUUUGAACCCCUCUUUGUUUCAAGACAUCCCCGGCCCAUGAAAAAUAAACAAGAGAAAAAGUACGUCGCGGGCGACACCUGACACUGAAUGCUAAACUGUCACUCCGCCCCAGCCAUUCAUUUCGAAAAUGCUGAAGUGGGUUGCCAUGUCCUUUUGUUAUCUUCCUCUCUCAGACAAAACAGCCCUGUACACUGUACACUGGCCCUUAAUGAAUACCUAUUGUCCAAACACUUCAGCUAGCUCAAACAGCCCUUUAAGAUGCCCAUGAAAAACUGGGUUGGAGAUAAAGCCUUGGGUCUGCGUGACAUUCCCUCCUAGAAAAAGAGGUAAGCUCCUUCAGACGACGCAGACGCUGAAGGUCAUGUGAAGGAUCUUGCGUGGUUUUCUCUCCUCACAUAUCAGCGCUUAGGAACAAUGGCAUGCAUAUGAGCGCCAAGAACCAUCUUGUUAGCUCUGACCUAAGCAAUACUUUAUUUACCAUUUACAGUGUAAUUUUUUUGCAUCUUUGUCAUUGAAUAUAUAUCAUUUUUUGCUUUUGUUCUUUAUCUGUUAUCUAUAUUGUCAUUGCUGGUGAAUGUCAUGAUGGUUCCAUUCAAAAGUCGAGUAAGGGCAAAACCAUUAAAGACCCACUGAAAUGCCUUGGAACAUGCAGCUUUAUUCACUGCGUUUACGUAAUUUUCAAUGAAACAGGAAGACAGGGCGGGAUAUAUCUAGAAGCUCCUCCCAUUUUUUCAAAAUAGCCAAUAGCGUUUCACCUAGAUCACAGCUCGGCCAGAGCUGUUGAGUUUGUAAAACCCAAUUUUCCUCAUAAUCUCUAGCUCUUUUUUUCCUCCAUAUUGCUUUAAAAUAUAGCAUUGUUUGUAUAAUUCAAAUGUGUCCGUACGUUUUGUGGUCUGUGCUGACUCGCGCAUAUGAUCCGCUCUGUGCCCUCUGGACUUGAGCAGACUGUGUUCACGUUGCGGCGGUUCACGUGACACUAAUAUGAAAACGAACUUCAUUCACGUCAAUGGAAAACAUAUUUACACUGUCUGAAUCGUUCCUCUAUAUAGUGCACUAUGUGCCAUUCACCAUAUAUAGAAACUAGUAAAUGUGUGAACAAAUGACCAAUUUCAGCCGCAGCUUCAGCGUCUGUUUAUAGUGUAGGAGGGGGCGGGACUUCAGAUUCUAUAGAGCAUUUGAUUGGACAGAAGAUUUGAUGAGAAGCUGAAGUGUGCAGUGAUGUCAUGAAAAUUCAUGAUCCAGUUUUAAAUGCUUAUAUCUCCUAAAUGUGAAUUUUGUCAUUGCUUUGGAACACACUAGCUUAUACAUAAACUUAAGUCUAACAUAUUCAUACUAAAAGCUAAAAAACGUAAAUUUUGAUUUCAGGGGGACUUUAAGACCAACUGUAGAACAGUUUUCAUGGGAAAGGAAACAAAUGAUAUCUCUUGAACGUCUCAUUUGUGUCUCCCAAACACCAAUUAAAAGAAAUGGAGAUACUUUUACUGAAUUGCCUCUUAGAUUUUUCUCUUGAGAAAAAGACCUCAGUAAUCUCAUGUUUCUUAGAGCAUUUCACAAGUUCUCAACAAUCAAACAUCUGAAAUUUCAACUCAUGAGGUCCUCAUCAAAAUCUUCUAACACUAAAUGAGUUGAGCUGAUGACAUCCACAUUCGUUUUUAUAGUGCUAUACUCUUAUUUUAUGUCAACAAUUUUGACAUUUGUGAUUUUUAUUUGUAUAAUUUAGCUCUAUAAGAGCAACCCAAAGAAAUACAGUUUCCUCUGGGUUAUUAUAAGAUAAUAAAAUAAUUCUUGUGGUCGUGUCUUGCACAUUCUAGUGUAUAUGACAUGUAUGAUAUGUUAAAUACAUGACAGCUGGUAUUUCUUUGUUCUUGAUUCAUGUCUGCACAGGUGUGCUCUGUAGUACAGUAUGUACUUGAUAUGGUACAAGGGUCUUUG